GACGAACGCUGGCGGCGUGCUUAACACAUGCAAGUCGAACGGAAAGGCCCUGCUUUUGUGGGGUGCUCGAGUGGCGAACGGGUGAGUAACACGUGAGUAACCUGCCCUUGACUUUGGGAUAACUUCAGGAAACUGGGGCUAAUACCGGAUAGGAGCUCCUGCUGCAUGGUGGGGGUUGGAAAGUUUCGGCGGUGGGGGAUGGACUCGCGGCUUAUCAGCUUGUUGGUGGGGUAGUGGCUUACCAAGGCUUUGACGGGUAGCCGGCCUGAGAGGGUGACCGGCCACAUUGGGACUGAGAUACGGCCCAGACUCCUACGGGAGGCAGCAGUGGGGAAUAUUGCACAAUGGGCGGAAGCCUGAUGCAGCAACGCCGCGUGCGGGAUGACGGCCUUCGGGUUGUAAACCGCUUUCGCCUGUGACGAAGCGUGAGUGACGGUAAUGGGUAAAGAAGCCCCGGCUAACUACGUG
rnacentral:rRNA from 1 species